rnacentral:rRNA from 1 species
GACGAACGCUGGCGGCGUGCUUAACACAUGCAAGUCGAACGGUGAAGCGCCUUCCUUUUUGGUGGGUGUGGAUGAGUGGCGAACGGGUGAGUAACACGUGAGUAACCUGCCCCCUUCUUCUGGAUAACCGCAUGAAAGUGUGGCUAAUACGGGAUAUUCUGGGUCUGUCGCAUGAUGGGUCUGGGAAAGAUAUUGUUUCGGUGGGGGAUGGGCUCGCGGCCUAUCAGCUUGUUGGUGGGGUGAUGGCCUACCAAGGCGGUGACGGGUAGCCGGCCUGGGGGGUGGCACGCUCUAGCUGGGGCUGGGACACGGCCCGACCGCGACCGGGGGCAGGCGGGGGGGAGAGUUGCCAAUGGGGCGCAGGCCUGAUGGGGCGCGACCCCGUGGGGGAGGGGGGCCUUGGGUUGUGAACCUCUUUCGCCAGUGAAGCAGGCCUGCCUCGUUUGUGGGUGGGUUGACGGUAGCUGGAUAAGAAGCGCCGGCUAACUACGUG